rnacentral:rRNA from 1 species
AUUGAACGCUGGCGGCAGGCUUAACACAUGCAAGUCGAACGAGUGGCGCGGGUGUGAGUAAUACUGGGGACUGUCGGAUAUGGAGGGGGAUAACUACGGGAAGCUGUCGCAUAUACCGCAUACCAUAGUAUGACCCCAAGUGGGAUUAGGUAGUGGGAGAGGUAAAGGCUCACCAAGCCGACGAUCUCUAGCUGGUCUGAGAGGAUGACCAGCCACACUGGGACUGAGACACGGCCCAGACUCCUACGGGAGGCAGCAGUGGGGAAUAUUGCACAAUGGGCGCAACCUGAUGCAGCCAUGCCGCGUGAAUGAAGAAGGCCUUCGGGUUGUAAAGUUCUUUCGGUCGCGAGGCGUUACCGACAGAAGAAGCACCGGCUAACUCCGUGCCAGCAGCCGCGGUAAUUC